GUGGCGCUGGAACACGCGGUGCUGCUCGGCGUGCGAGAGGCGCGCGUACAGGGGGAGCACCUCGGUAUGUCUGAGGUUCCGCUUGUUCAGCGCGUCC
rnacentral:tRNA from 1 species